rnacentral:rRNA from 1 species
GUUUGGGGGGAUUUGGUGAUCCUAUGCUGCCGAGAAAAGCAUCGACGCGAGGUUUUAGCCGCCCGUACCCCAAACCGACACAGGUGAUCAGGUAGAGAAUACUAAGGCGAUCGAGAGAAUUAUGGUUAAGGAACUCGGCAAAAUGCCCCCGUAACUUCGGGAGAAGGGGGGCCCCAACCUUGAUACACCCUUGCGGUGUGGAGGGGAUCGGGGCCGCAGAGACCAGGGGGAAGCGACUGUUUACUAAAAACACAGGUCCGUGCGAAGUCGCAAGACGAUGUAUACGGACUGACUCCUGCCCGGUGCUGGAAGGUUAAGAGGACCGGUUAGCCUCACGGCGAAGCUGAGA